AGUCGAACGUCCCCGUGUGCGGGGGCGUGGCGUACGGCUCAGUAACACGUAGUCAACUGCCCUGGAGACAAGGACAACCCCGGGAAACUGGGAUUAAUCCUUGAUAGGUCAUCUCAUCUGGAAGGAGAGAUGGCUUAAAGGGGUACGCGGGCUUCUUCUGCGUAUUCGCUCCAGGAUGGGACUGCGUCCGAUCAGGCUGUUGGCGGGGUAAUGGCCCACCAAACCUGUAACCGGUACGGGCCUUGAGAGAGGUGGCCCGGAGAUGGACACUGAGAGAAGGGUCCAGGUCCUACGGGGCGCAGCAGGCGCGAAACCUUCGCAAUGCGCGAAAGCGUGACGAGGUUAAUCCGAGUGACUCCCGCUGAGGGGGUCUUUUGUCAGCUGUAAAUAGGCAGGCGAAUAAGGGGAGGGCAAGCCUGGUGUCAGCCGCCGCGGUAAUACCAGCUCCUCGAGUGGUCGGGGCGAUUAUUGGGCCUAAAGCAUCCGUAGCCGGUUCCGUAGGUCCUCUGUUAAAUCCAACCGCUCAACGGUUGACCUGCAGAGGAUACCGCGGGACUAGGAGGCGGGAGAGGCGGACGGUAUUCCGCGUGUAGGGGUAAAAUCCUUUGAUCCGCGGAGGACCACCAGUGGCGAAGGCGGUCCGCCAGAACGCGCUCGACGGUGAGGGAUGAAAGCUGGGGGAGCGAACCGGAUUAGAUACCCGGGUAGUCCCAGCCGUAAACGAUGCUAGCUAGAUGAUUCAUUCGCAAGUCGCGAAUGAAGUGUCGCAGGGAAGCCGUUAAGCUAGCCGCCUGGGGAGUACGGUCGCAAGACUGAAACUUAAAGGAAUUGGCGGG
rnacentral:rRNA from 1 species